rnacentral:rRNA from 1 species
CGGGCGACCGGCAAACGGGUGCGGAACACGUACACAACCUUCCUUCAAAUGGGGAAUAGCCCAGGGAAACUUGGAUUAAUACCCCGUAACAUUAUGGAGUGGCAUCACUUUAUAAUUAUAGCUCCGGCGUUUGGAGAUGGGUGUGCGGCUGAUUAGGUAGUUGGCGGGGUAACGGCCCACCAAGCCUUCGAUCAGUAACUGGUGUGAGAGCACGACCAGUCACACGGGCACUGAGACACGGGCCCG